AUACGGAGGGUCCAAGCGUUAUCCGGAUUUAUUGGGUUUAAAGGGUCCGUAGGCGGGAAGAUAAGUCAGUGGUGAAAUCCUACAGCUCAACUGUAGAACUGCCAUUGAAACUGUUUUUCUUGAAUUUAGAUGAAGUGGGCGGAAUAUAUCAUGUAGCGGUGAAAUGCAUAGAUAUGAUAUAGAACACCGAUUGCGAAGGCAGCUCACUAAACUAAUAUUGACGCUGAGGGACGAAAGUGUGGGGAGCGAACAGGAUUAGAAACCCUUGUAGUCC
rnacentral:rRNA from 1 species